rnacentral:rRNA from 1 species
UACGGGGGGAGCAAGCGUUGUUCGGAUUUACUGGGCGUAAAGGGCGCGUAGGCGGCCACCGCAAGUCGACUGUGAAAUCUCCGGGCUUAACUCGGAAAGGUCAGCCGAUACUGCGGGGCUAGAGUGCAGAAGGGGCAACUGGAAUUCUCGGUGUAGCGGUGAAAUGUGUAGAGAUCGGGAGGAACACCGGUGGCGAAGGCGGGUCUCUGGGCAAUUCCUGACGCUGAGGCGCGAAAGCGUGGGGAGCAAACGGG